GUCACAAGAUACUACAGCACUGAACCAUCAGCUUCCUCUGUAAUGUACAUACCAAUCACAUCCACUCCUCGAUCCACCAUGCAUCCAUACACAUAGCAUGCAUAACACUAGCACGGAGUAGUACUUUACAACACAAAUUAAGUGCAUUGUCGACCAUUUCAACUAGAGAGACAUAUCGUCCCAUCAAUCAAUUUUACAUGCAUGCAUCAAUCUGCCUCCAGCACCAGCAGGCACACGUCGACUUAAUUAGCCGGAGAAGGUCUGGAUGAUGGUGUUGUGCCACGGGUCAGACAGGUGCUGGAACAGGUUGUCGAGCGGCCCUUUUCCGGUGACCGCGUGCUGCACCGAGAAACCCAGGUACGCCAGCAUCGCCAGCCUCCCUACAAAAUCACAAAACGACCAAUUAAAUUCCUUUUCCGUUUGAGAUCUGGCCGUAGGAACUACUCCAGUAACUGGAAGAAGGGCAUGUAUGUACCGUUGGCGAUCUCCUUCUCCUUGGCCUCGAGCGUGGGCGCGAAGUUGAGCGGGUUGAAGACGCUGCCGGGGUAUCCGCACUCGUGGGGCGGCAGGCUGUAGCUCUUGAAGAUGGGGUCCUGGUUGACGCAGCCGGGCUCCUUGAUGUCCUGCCACCGCCGGAUCUCCACGUAGUGGAACAGGAUGAACUCCACGACGAAGAGCGUGGAGGAGGAGGCGAAGUAUGUGGACU
rnacentral:lncRNA from 1 species